UUAGUAACACGUGAGCAACCUGCCUCGAAGCGGGGGAUAGCCUCUCGAAAGGGAGAUUAGUACCGCAUGUGACCUACGGGUUAAAGGCGCCUUCGGGUGUCGCUUCGAGAUGGGCUCGCGGCCUAUCAGCUUGUUGGUGAGGUAACGGCUCACCAAGGCGACGACGGGUAGCUGGUCUGAGAGGACGAUCAGCAACACUGGAACUGAGACACGGUCCAGACACCUACGGGUGGCAGCAGUCGAGAAUCAUUCACAAUGGGGGCAACCCUGAUGGUGCAACGCCGCGUGGAGGAUGAAGGCCCUAGGGUCGUAAACUCCUGUCAUAUGAGAGUAAGGCAUAUGUGUUAAUAGCAUAUAUGUUUGAUAGUUUCAUAAGAGGAAGGGACGGCUAACUUCGUGCCAGCAGCCGCGGUAAUACGAAGGUCCCGAGCGUUAUUCGGAAUCACUGGGCGUAAAGAGUACGUAGGCGGUUUGGUAAGUCAGGUGUGAAAUCCCGGGGCUCAACCCCGGAACUGCAUCCGAUACUGCCAGACUGGAGUAAUGGAGAGGCAGGUGGAAUUCUCGGUGUAGCAGUGAAAUG
rnacentral:rRNA from 1 species